rnacentral:rRNA from 1 species
AUACGGAGGGUGCGAGCGUUGUUCGGAAUUAUUGGGCGUAAAGCGCGUGUAGGCGGUUUGAUAAGUCUGAUGUGAAAGCCCCGGGCUCAACCCGGGAAGUGCAUUGGAAACUGUUGGACUUGAGUACUGGAGAGGAAGGGGGAAUUCCCGGUGUAGAGGUGAAAUUCGUAGAGAUCGGGAGGAAUACCAGUGGCGUUGGCGCCCUUCUGGACGGUAACUGACGCUGAGACGCGAAAGCGUGGGGAGCAAACAGGAUUAGAUACCCUGGUAGUCCACGCUGUAAACGAUGAUCACUAGGUGUAGCGGGUACUCAUUCCUGCUGUGCCGCAGCUAACGCGUUAAGUGAUCCGCCUGGGGAUUAUGGUCGCAAGACUAAA